rnacentral:rRNA from 1 species
AGUCGACGGAUGUAGCAAUACAUUAGUGGCGCACGGGUGAGUAACGCGUGGGAACGUGCCUUUCAGUUCAGGAUAACAGCGGGAAACUGCUGCUAAUACUGGAUAUUCCCCCCGGGGGAAAGAUUUAUCGCUGAAAGAUCGGCCCGCGUAAGAUUAGGUAGUUGGUGGGGUAAUGGCCUACCAAGCCUACGAUCUUUAGCUGGUCUGAGAGGAUGAUCAGCCACACUGGAACUGAGACACGGUCCAGACUCCUACGGGAGGCAGCAGUGGGGAAUAUUGGACAAUGGGGGAAACUCUGAUCC